CUCAGAUUGAACGCUGGCGGCAGGCCUAACACAUGCAAGUCGAGCGGUAGCACAGAGAGCUUGCUCUCGGGUGACGAGCGGCGGACGGGUGAGUAAUGUCUGGGAAACUGCCUGAUGGAGGGGGAUAACUACUGGAAACGGUAGCUAAUACCGCAUAAUGUCGCAAGACCAAAGUGGGGGACCUUCGGGCCUCAUGCCAUCAGAUGUGCCCAGAUGGGAUUAGCUAGUAGGUGGGGUAACGGCUCACCUAGGCGACGAUCCCUAGCUGGUCUGAGAGGAUGACCAGCCACACUGGAACUGAGACACGGUCCAGACUCCUACGGGAGGCAGCAGUGGGGAAUAUUGCACAAUGGGCGCAAGCCUGAUGCAGCCAUGCCGCGUGUGUGAAGAAGGCCUUCGGGUUGUAAAGCACUUUCAGCGGGGAGGAAGGCGAUAAGGUUAAUAACCUUGUCGAUUGACGUUACCCGCAGAAGAAGCACCGGCUAACUCCGUGCCAGCAGCCGCGGUAAUACGGAGGGUGCAAGCGUUAAUCGGAAUUACUGGGCGUAAAGCGCACGCAGGCGGUCUGUCAAGUCGGAUGUGAAAUCCCCGGGCUCAACCUGGGAACUGCAUUCGAAACUGGCAGGCUAGAGUCUUGUAGAGGGGGGUAGAAUUCCAGGUGUAGCGGUGAAAUGCGUAGAGAUCUGGAGGAAUACCGGUGGCGAAGGCGGCCCCCUGGACAAAGACUGACGCUCAGGUGCGAAAGCGUGGGGAGCAAACAGGAUUAGAUACCCUGGUAGUCCACGCCGUAAACGAUGUCGAUUUGGAGGUUGUGCCCUUGAGGCGUGGCUUCCGGAGCUAACGCGUUAAAUCGACCGCCUGGGGAGUACGGCCGCAAGGUUAAAACUCAAAUGAAUUGACGGGGGCCCGCACAAGCGGUGGAGCAUGUGGUUUAAUUCGAUGCAACGCGAAGAACCUUACCUGGUCUUGACAUCCACAGAACUUACCAGAGAUGCUUUGGUGCCUUCGGGAACUGUGAGACAGGUGCUGCAUGGCUGUCGUCAGCUCGUGUUGUGAAAUGUUGGGUUAAGUCCCGCAACGAGCGCAACCCUUAUCCUUUGUUGCCAGCGGUUAGGCCGGGAACUCAAAGGAGACUGCCAGUGAUAAACUGGAGGAAGGUGGGGAUGACGUCAAGUCAUCAUGGCCCUUACGACCAGGGCUACACACGUGCUACAAUGGCAUAUACAAAGAGAAGCGACCUCGCGAGAGCAAGCGGACCUCAUAAAGUAUGUCGUAGUCCGGAUUGGAGUCUGCAACUCGACUCCAUGAAGUCGGAAUCGCUAGUAAUCGUAGAUCAGAAUGCUACGGUGAAUACGUUCCCGGGCCUUGUACACACCGCCCGUCACACCAUGGGAGUGGGUUGCAAAAGAAGUAGGUAGCUUAACCUUCGGGAGGGCGCUUACCACUUUGUGAUUCAUGACUGGGGUGAAGUCUCAAAG
rnacentral:rRNA from 1 species